GGGUCUUUUCCUUUGUCGCUUCCCCCUUUGAACAACUGCUUCAAUUCAACUAUCAUGCUUUUUUGAGACUCUAUCAUUUCGUUCCUCAUAUCUUGUUGAAUCUUUUCUAACCGCUCUUGCAUUUGUUCUUGCAUCUCCUUUUGGAGUUGUUCGAGUCUUUCGAAUCUUUGAUCCAUGACUUUUGUUUUGCGACAGGUACCGUAGGGGUGUUUGGUUGGUUGGUUUUUUUCAGAUUAGCUGAAAUAAAUUUACUCGUUUAGACUCUUUCGAUGGAUUUAAAUGCAUAAGAUGUAGAUGUAUGAAAUGCAUGCCUAAAGAGACAUUGAUUUUAAUUCAAUUACAUUUAGGAAACUUUUCUAGAAAGUAAAUUCCCUUACAUAAAACGGAUACAUGUACGGCCUCACCCUCAUAUUUCAAGAAAUAACAUUGGUCUUUUCUUCAUCCGCAUGUUUGAGGUAAUCUCGCCAAUAGAUGCCAUUGCUAGCUCAUUUUCUUGAUCUUGGUCGCGAUCCAUCAUCUGCCCAUCUUCAUAAGGCUCAUCAACUUGUCGAAGGCUUUUGGACAAUCGUCUCGAACCCUUAGGCCACGAAGGAAAGAUCACGAACUCUUCCAUCGCCCUUCUUGUGUCUCUCAGAAUAUAUUUGGGAAGUCGUAUUGUUUUCCACUUUAUCAAGGAAUCUGUAUUCCAUGAAAGCUUUCUAAUUUAGUAAUUGGAUUUGAAUCAAUAUCUCUUUCCUAAGAUGCAAAUGCAAUGCAAUCAUAAUCAAAACAAAACA
rnacentral:lncRNA from 1 species